AUUUUGUUUAGGAGCUUGGUAUCACUAUGAUUAAGUGGUCUGUGCAUAUAAAGUGAGGUGGCUAUAAUCUAAUAAUAAUAAUAUUUUUUGGAGCAUCAAUUCCUGGGUCUCUUGGUGUGUCCAUUUGUACAUCCUCCUUUCUUCUUUUUGGUUUGGAUUAGGAUUUUGUAGGUACUGGUGGGUCCCCAGUGGACAGCACUGGUUCCUGGAAAUCUGCAGUCACACCCAGUUAUUGUGAGUAGUUUUAAACAGGAGAUACAGUGACAUCGGUAAAGGUCCCUGGAACACACAGCAGAUACAGUCUCAUCGGUAAAGGUUCCUGGAACACACAGGAGAUACAGUCUCAUCUGUAAAGGUUCCUGGAACACACAAGAAAUACAGUUACAUCGGUAAAGGUCACUGGAACACACAGGAGAUACUGUCACAUCGGUAAAGGUCCCUGGAACACACAGCAGAUACAGUCUCAUCUGUAAAGGUUCCUGGAACACACAGGAGAUACAGUCUCAUCUGUAAAGGUUCCUGGAACACACAAGAAAUACAGUUACAUCGGUAAAGGUCCCUGGAACACACAGGAGAUACAGUCACAUCGGUAAAGGUCCCUGGAACACACAGGAGAUACAGUCACAAUGGUAAAGGUUCCUGGAACACACAGGAGAUACAGUCACAUUGGUAAAGGUCCC